UACGUAGGGUGCAAGCGUUGUCCGGAAUUAUUGGGCGUAAAGAGCGUGUAGGCGGCCAGGUAGGUCUGCUGUGAAAACCCGAGGCUCAACCUCGAGACGUCGGCGGAAACCAUCUGGCUAGAGUCCGGAAGAGGAGAGUGGAAUUCCUGGUGUAGCGGUGAAAUGCGCAGAUAUCAGGAAGAACACCCGUGGCGAAGGCGGCUCUCUGGGACGGUACUGACGCUGAGGAGCGAAAGCGUGGGGAGCAAACAGG
rnacentral:rRNA from 1 species